rnacentral:rRNA from 1 species
UACGAAGGGGGCUAGCGUUGCUCGGAAUUACUGGGCGUAAAGGGCGCGUAGGCGGCACUGUUAGUCAGGCGUGAAAGUCCUGGGCUCAACCUGGGAACUGCGCUUGAUACGGCCAGAGCUAGAGGAUGGAAGAGGGUCGCGGAAUUCCCAGUGUAGAGGUGAAAUUCGUAGAUAUUGGGAAGAACACCGGUGGCGAAGGCGGCGACCUGGUCCAUUACUGACGCUGAGGCGCGACAGCGUGGGGAGCAACGACGG